rnacentral:misc_RNA from 1 species
CUGAGAAGUAUGAUGUUCAUGUUGUAGGCAUUGAUCUUUCAGUUAACAUGAUCACAUUGGCUUUUGAACGUGCUAUUGGGCGCAAAUGCGCGGUUGAAUUUGAGGUUGCUGAUUGCACGGUGAAAACAUAUCCUGAAGAAUCAUUCGAUGUGAUAUACAGCCGGGACACUAUCCUGCACAUCCAGGACAAGCCUGCAUUAUUCAGAUCUUUCUAUAAGUGGCUGAAGCCUGGAGGCAGAGUCCUCAUAAGCGAUUACUGCAAAAAGGCAGGACCAGCUUCCGAAGACUUUGCAGCGUAUAUCAAACAAAGAGGCUACGAUUUACAUGAUGUUGAAGCAUAUGGGCAGAUGCUCAGAGAUGCGGGUUUUCAUGAAGUUGUGGCCGAGGAUCGUACUGAACAGUUCAUUAAGGUUCUGCAAAAGGAGUUAGAUACUGUGGAGAAGGAAAGAGAAUCUUUUAUCCAUGAGUUCUCUGAACAAGACUAUAAUGAAAUAGUUGGAGGUUGGAAGUCCAAGCUAAUCAGGAGUUCAUCUGGUGAGCAGAGGUGGGGCUUGUUCAUUGCCAAGAAGAAAUGAUUUAUCCAAACGUGUGGUGGAUCUAUUUCCAUUUAUAUACUAGAGUAUGAACAUUUCUUCCAGUUCUAUGUAAUAAUUGUUUUACCAGGGAUUUAGGGAUAAAAGAUAUUACUAGCAUACUCUUCCCUCAUCUUGGACAAAUUUGUUCUUCAUUUGCUGUCAUUAUUCCUUUAGAUUUUGAUGCACGUCGCAUUCUUUAUGAG